rnacentral:rRNA from 1 species
UACGUAGGGUGCAAGCGUUAAUCGGAAUUACUGGGCGUAAAGGGCGCGUAGGCGGACAGUUUAGUCAGAGGUGAAAGCCCAGGGCUCAACCUUGGAAUUGCCCUUGAUACUGGCUGUCUUGAGUUCGGGAGAGGUGAGUGGAAUGCCGAGUGUAGAGGUGAAAUUCGUAGAUAUUCGGCGGAACACCAGUGGCGAAGGCGGCUCACUGGCCCGAUACUGACGCUGAGGCGCGAAAGCGUGGGGAGCAAACAGG